AACGUAGGUGGCGAGCGUUAUCCGGAUUUACUGGGCGCAAAGCGUGUGCAGGCGGGGUAUCAAGUGGGGUAUGAAAUCGCUCGGCUUAACCGGGCGCGGUUAUGCCAGACUGAUACUCUGGAGUGCGGGAGAGGGGCGUGGAAUUCCGGGUGUAGUGGUGAAAUGCGUAGAGAUGCGGAGGAACACCGAUGGCGAAGGCAGCCCCCUGGGUCGACACUGACGCUCAGGCACGAAAGCGUGGGGAGCAAACAGG
rnacentral:rRNA from 1 species